rnacentral:SRP_RNA from 1 species
GCUGAGAGCGGUGGUGCAUGCCUGUAGUCCCAGCUGCUUGGGUGGCUGAGGUGGGAGGAUCGCUUGAGUCCAGGAGUCCUGGGCUGUAGUGUGCUAUGCCAAUCGGUGUCGCGCUAAGUUCAGCAUCAAUAUGGUGACCUCCUGGGAGCGGCUGACCACCAGGUUGCCUAAGGAGGGGUGAACCGGCCCAGGUCAGAAACUGAGCAGGUGAAAACUCCGGUGCUGAUCAGUAGUGGGAUCGCGCCUGUGAUUGGCCACUGCACUUCAGCCUGGGCAACAUAGAGAGACCCUGUGUCU